rnacentral:rRNA from 1 species
UACGGAGGAUGCAAGCGUUAUCCGGAAUGAUUGGGCGUAAAGCGUCCGCAGGUGGCAAUGUAAGUCUGCUGUUAAAGAGUCUAGCUCAACUAGAUAAAAGCAGUGGAAACUACAUAGCUAGAGUACGUUCGGGGCAGAGGGAAUUCCUGGUGUAGCGGUGAAAUGCGUAGAGAUCAGGAAGAACACCGGUGGCGAAGGCGCUCUGCUAGGCCGUAACUGACACUGAGGGACGAAAGCUAGGGGAGCGAAUGGG